AAAUCAAUAACUAUAUAAUAAGUGAUUUGUUAACGGCUACAUCAACAAUGGCACCUCAUGCUAAAGUAGCUGUUGAGGAUGUCGUAGCAGUUAUUAAAAAGCAUAUCGACCAUUUUACAGAGAGAAGUACAUGGACAGAUGAACUUUUCGAGAUCAUUCAACGUCAAAC